GACUCGGUAGCUCAGUGGUAGAGCAUACGAUUGCAGAUCGUGCGGUCCCGUGUUCGAACCACGGUCGGGUCU